UCCACCGAAACAAAUUUGCAACAAGAGUAGU
rnacentral:piRNA from 1 species